rnacentral:rRNA from 1 species
UACGUAGGGACCAAGCGUUGUUCGGAUUUACUGGGCGUAAAGCGCACGUAGGCGGCUUUGUAAGUUAGAGGUGAAAGCCCAGGGCUCAACCCUGGAAUUGCCUUUAAGACUGCAUCGCUUGAACAUCGGAGAGGUAAGUGGAAUUCCGAGUGUAGAGGUGAAAUUCGUAGAUAUUCGGAAGAACACCAGUGGCGAAGGCGACUUACUGGACGAUUGUUGACGCUGAGGUGCGAAAGCGUGGGGAGCAAACAGG